GAUGAAGAACGUAGCGAAAUGCGAUAAGUAGUGUGAAUUGCAGAAUUCAGUGAAUCAUCGAAUCUUUGAACGCACAUUGCGCCCCUUGGUAUCCCGAGGGGCAUGCCUGUUCGAGCGUCAUUUCACCACUCAAGCCUGGCUUGGUGUUGGGCGACGUCCCCUUUGGGGACGCGCCUCGAAACGCUCGGCGGCGUGGCACCGGCUUUAAGCGUAGCAGAAUCUUUCGCUUUGGAAGUCGGGGCCCCGUCUGCCGGAAGACCUACUCGCAAGGUUGACCUCGGAUCAGGCAGGGAUACCCGCUGAACUUAAGCAUAUCAAUAAGCGAAGGA
rnacentral:misc_RNA from 1 species